rnacentral:rRNA from 1 species
AUUGAACGCUGGCGGCAGGCCUAACACAUGCAAGUCGAGCGGAUGAAGGGAGCUUGCUCCUGGAUUCAGCGGCGGACGGGUGAGUAAUGCCUAGGAAUCUGCCUGGUAGUGGGGGAUAACGUCCGGAAACGGGCGCUAAUACCGCAUACGUCCUGCGGGAGAAAGUGGGGGAUCUUCGGACCUCACGCUAUCAGAUGAGCCUAGGUCGGAUUAGCUAGUUGGUGGGGUAAAGGCCUACCAAGGCGACGAUCCGUAACUGGUCUGAGAGGAUGAUCAGUCACACGGGAACUGAGACACGGUCCAGACUCCUAAGGGAGGCAGCAGUGGGGAAUAUUAGACAGUAGUCGAAAGCCUGAUCCAGCCAGGCCGCGUGUGUGAAGAAGGUCUUCGGAGUGUAAAGCACUUUAAGUGGGGAGAAAGGGCAGUAAGUUAAUACCUUGCUGGUUUGACGUUACCAACAGAAUAAGCACCGGCUAACUUCGUG